AGAGUUUGAUCCUGGCUCAGAACGAACACUGGCGGCGUGGAUUAGGCAUGCAAGUCGAACGAGAAAGUUUCCUUCGGGAAACGAGUACAGUGGCGAACGGGUGAGUAACGCGUGGGAAAUCUGCCCUUUAAUGGGGGAUAACAGUUCUAACGAGCUGCUAAUACCGCAUAAGAUCCUUAGAUCGCAUGAUCCGGGGAUGAAAGAUGGCCUCUACAUGUAAGCUGUCGUUGAAGGAUGAUCCCGCGUCCCAUUAGCUUGUUGGUGGGGUAAAAGCCUACCAAGGCGACGAUGGGUAACCGGCCUGAGAGGGUGUCCGGCCACACUGGGACUGAGAUACGGCCCAGACUCCUACGGGAGGCAGCAGUCGAGAAGCUUCCGCAAUGGGGGAAACCCUGACGGAGCGACGCCGCGUGAGUGAAGAAGGCCCUCUGGGUUGUAAAGCUCUGUCAGAUUGGGAAGAAAACUCUGCGGGUAAUAUCCGUAGAGCUUGACGGUGCCAUCAGAGGAAGCACCGGCUAACUCCGUGCCAGCAGCCGCGGUAAUACGGAGGGUGCAAGCGUUGUUCGGAUUCACUGGGUAUAAAGGGUGCGCAGGCGGCCCAAUAAGUCAGAGGUGAAAUAUGACGGCUCAACCGUCAAACGGCCCCUGAAACUGUUGGGCUUGAGUUCGAGAGAGGUAGGUGGAAUUCCAGGUGUAGCGGUGAAAUGCGUAAAUAUCUGGAGGAACACCGGUGGCGAAGGCGGCCUACUGGCUCGAUACUGACGCUCAGGCACGAAAGCAUGGGGAGCGAACGGGAUUAGAUACCCCGGUAGUCCAUGCCGUAAACGAUGGGUACUAGGUGUUGGGGGAGUCUACCCCCUCAGUGCUGCAGCUAACGCAUUAAGUACCCCACCUGGGGAGUACGAUCGCAAGGUUGAAACUCAAAGGAAUUGACGGGGGCCCGCACAAGCGGUGGAGCAUGUGGUUUAAUUCGAUGCAACGCGAAGAACCUUACCUGGGCUUGACAUGCAGGGGACAGGUAUAGAAAUAUACCCUUCUUCGGACUCCUGUACAGGUGCUGCAUGGCUGUCGUCAGCUCGUGUCGUGAAAUGUUGGGUUAAGUCCCGCAACGAGCGCAACCCUUGUCUUUAGUUGCCAUCAGGUAAUGCUGGGGACUCUAGAGAGACUGCCGGUGACAAACCGGAGGAAGGUGGGGACGACGUCAAGUCAUCAUGGCCCUUACGCCCAGGGCUACACACGUGCUACAAUGGUCGGUACAAUGGGCUGCAAUACAGUGAUGUGGAGCGAAUCCCAAAAAGCUGGCCUCAGUUCGGAUCGUAGUCUGCAACUCGACUACGUGAAGUUGGAAUCGCUAGUAAUCGCGUAUCAGAACGACGCGGUGGAUACGUUCCCGGGCCUUGUACACACCGCCCGUCAAGUCAACCGAGUUGGUUGCACCCCAAGUCGCUGAGCUAACCCGUAAGGGAGGCAAGUGCCCAAGGUGUGAUUGGCGAGGGGGACUAAGUCGUAACAAGGUA
rnacentral:rRNA from 1 species